rnacentral:rRNA from 1 species
AACGAACGCUGGCGGCAUGCCUAACACAUGCAAGUCGAACGAGACCUUCGGGUCUAGUGGCGCACGGGUGCGUAACGCGUGGGAAUCUACCCUCAGGUUCGGAAUAACUCAGAGAAAUUUGAGCUAAUACCGGAUGAUGACUUAAGUCCAAAGAUUUAUCGCCUGAGGAUGAGCCCGCUUAGGAUUAGGUAGUUGGUGAGGUAAAGGCUCACCAAGCCGACGAUCCUUAGCUGGUCUGAGAGGAUGAUCAGCCACACUGGGACUGAGACACGGCCCAGACUCCUACGGGAGGCAGCAGUGGGGAAUAUUGGACAAUGGGCGAAAGCCUGAUCCAGCAAUGCCGCGUGAGUGAUGAAGGCCUUAGGGUUGUAAAGCUCUUUUACCCGGGAUGAUAAUGACAGUACCGGGAGAAUAAGCGCCGGCUAACUCCGUG